ACCCGGGCAGCUGCGCACCGGUUGCACCGUCGAUAUUUACGCCAUUGAUUAAUAAUAUCUUGACCAUUAAAUAAAUGCCUUAAAUAAAUGCCGAAUCUGUAUCUCUCAUAAAGAAUAUCGUCAGACAAUGCCAAGGGAUCGGUUCUGUCCCGAAAAACCCUCCGUCUCCGGAGAGACGCCUGUACGAUAGGUGCGUCGAGGUCCAUGGGAACACCCACAAAUGGUGACGCCAUUAUCGGAGGAGGGGCUAGGAAGCUGCGCACGCCGAUAUAAGUAGCCGAUCUCCGGGGUAGACUCGCUGAAAAGCUGCUCCCGACCAGGUUUUGUUGCGAGCGUAAGUCACCAUGUUGAUAAGAAAAAAGAGAUCGACUUUCAUGGUACAGCUAACCCAUGCUUUCAGCUCAACAUACCUCGCUAACCCUCUAAUCGAGCUUCGUAGUACAGACCCCUGGAUUGGGCUUCGCGGGUUUGUUUCCCGGCGUUUCUAUUACCGGUCUUGGGUGUUCCAACGGUUUAUUAGGUGUCUAAUAAAUCGCCGUCUAAUCAAUACUUCAUUCACUGCCUCUUCCGUGGUUAUUACAAUAUUAUGAAUAGACUGCUCUAAAAAAAUAAAUAAUACUAAUUAUACCAGAUACAUUUUCAGUCGCACCGGUGCGCCCAAAUAAAAUAUUUGGUCGCACUACCCCGAAUUCUAGGCGCAUGUGCGCCCAAAUUAGGCGCACUCUGGAGCCCUGGAUUCAGCCAACACAGGAGAGGAUUUAUAAAGAAGGAAUUUCAUUUAUAUAUUGACGCAAUUUCUGUAAAAGAAAAAUAAAUCGAGAUUUUAUUUCUAGCCUUGAUAAGCCAAUAUUGGGCAAAGAAAUCGACCAAGCGAUAUAUUGGUAGGGCUCUAAUUGUCAACCAUUGCACAGCCCAAACACAGAACUAGAGCGUAAUAUCGUAUCUUUCGACAUGUCUUUCUUUCUCACUGUUCAACACUGCCAUGUGUGUCGUCUAGUGUGUCCCGGCCACACCAGACGCAAUGUCCCUCGCCUGCCAUCGCCUUCCAUCCCCCUGCCCCUCUCUAGUCCAGCUAAUGGGAGUAUGCAACGGUUUCAAUGGAAGUGCUUGAAACCAGAAAAAAUAUAUUUAACCUGGCAUUGCGUCGGUUUGGUCCUGGCCAGCUUUACAAUGAAGCUCUGCCGUCAUCAAGUCUGACACGGACCAAGAGCGGAUCUGUUGACUUUCUCCAUACAGCACCUUGAUAUUGUAGUUUUUCUUUUUCGAGUUUUAUUCAAAUGUUAAAAUAAAUGUCACCUUUUUAUAGAAAACGAGGCAGCCAUGAGUGGUGCUUUAAAAGCAGCAUGAUGGUGGAGCGCCACUAUUAAAUUCUUCAGGGAGAAUCCUGAUACGAUUUUAGAUCAUUGACUGGUAAUAAGCCUGUGAUUUACAGAGUUUCUCGUGCGCUGAUACCGAAAAUUCUCGAACCUGAAUAUCAACGGCGAACCGAUACAUCGCUUGGCCCCUAAUCAUUUUCUUAUCCUCAGCUUGUUGUAAAAUUACGAUAAUUUGAGCUGUAAAAUAAUGUUGAAAAUAUAAUAGUGCUGUUUUCUUUGUAUGACUGCUUGUACUUCUUCUUUCCAUUGGGGUGGGGGUUGAAAUUGGGGGGAUAUCCCUCCAUGCCUGUGAACCCUUGCUGAAAUGGAUCUGGUCCACUGCAUUGUUGUGGUUGGGGCAGUUGUUUGGUAUGGUUGUAAUAUUGUUUGCCUUUUAGGUCUCUUCCAGCCUAGUAACCACGUUCUUGAUAUAGCCCUGGAUGCUCCUCUUCCAUCAACAUUUGGGGUCCAUGGUUUCUCUAUGGAUCCAAGCUUAUGAACAUUUACGAUACAUAUAGGGCAUUUAACGUACGCUUUCAUUCAAAGCGAAUUACAACAGUUUAUACACAGUGAUGGGGGACUCAACCAUUCAAGGCUUGAGCAUCAAGGGUUAGGUGUCUUGCUCAGGCACACGAUAGCUUCACUAUUCAAGGCUAUUUGUUACCAAUUGAAGAACAAAAUCUUAACUUUAGUGUACAAUCAGAUGCGCUCAUAUAUAAAUCAUUUAUUGAAGAAACACAAUAUAUAGCUUAAUCGAUGCUCACAUGAGUAGGUUACCUGUUUUAGACUGCAUACCUUGGAUGUAUAUCUCCUCACUGGAAAGUUCAGCAAUAGAAGUUCUCAGUGCUUGAGCUGGUGUCAUAUGCAGGAUUUUAGACAGUGUGUCUGGGAAAUGGCGUGUUAUCUGGCUGACUGGUCUGGCUUGCCAAAUAUUGAGUAAGAAUAAAAUCAAGGUGUAGUUUCCUAGUCUUUAGUUUCAAACAUACCACAGAGCCCAGGCGCUUUGUUCAUUACGUAACAUUUUUCAGCUCAAAUUCAAAGCGAUUUAAAAUAACUGUUCAACCAUUAAGAUACAAGAAUCAUUCGAGUACAUACAAUUCAUAAAAUAAGCCAUGUGGCACAUUUUAGAAACUAAAUAUAGAUUGUUUUUAAGAGAUUAAUGCAUUGGCCAAUAGCCAGAUGGGAUUUUAUUGAGCGGCAGAUUUAGCACCCUGGUAGUGGGGGAGAAGGAAGCCUUUUGCGAAGUGGACGGGCUGGGGUGUAAUCUUUGACCAUGUUCUGGAUGAAGGAUGAGCCUUUCGCAGCACGGUUGGUAAGUACCAGUGACUUGAAUCGUAUUCAAGGAGCCACAAGGGAAGGGUGCGGAGGAGCGGUGUAGUGUGGGAGAACUCGGGUAGGCGGAAGACCAGCUGGGCUGCUGCCUUCUGGAUGAGCUGCAGAAGUUGAAUGGCAGACCAGACAGAAGGGAGUUGCAGUAGUCCAGACCCGAGAUGACGCUAGCCUGGACGAAAACCUGCGUGGCCUUCUGGGUGAGGAAAGGACGUAUCCUCCUGAAGUUGUGGAGCAAAAAUCUGCUGGAGCAGGUUGCAGCAAAGGACAUCUGGUAAUCCAGUGUCACACCCAGGUUCAGUUUGAGCCACACACAACAGUUCUGUACCAUAGAGUUCUCUACAUGGAUAGAGAAGUCGUUGAUGGGAGAUGCCUUCCCUGAAACAAAAAGCAUCGAUCUCGUUCAGACCGAGCGUCAAGUGGUGUUUCGAAAAUCCACGAGAUGUCGGCUAGACACUCGGAUUCAGAGCUGGCACCUGGUUUAAUCUGUCCUCUGCAUAGAUGUGGUAGGAAGUGCCAUGUGAGUGAAUCCCAGAACCCAGUCACUUGGUAUAUAGAGAGAAGAUGAUGGGACCCAGAAUAGAAUCCUGAGGGACCCCAGUUGUUGGGCUACACGGUUCAGAUUCUUUCAUGUGAGCAGGGAGAAUGCAGAGCCUGAGACCCCCAGUCUGGUGCUUUUCUAGCAGUGUGAAGUUUAUCUGAAUGCAAGGAGGGCCGCCUCCAUUGAAAGGGUUUAUUGGUGAUGGUUAAAGAGUCGGGUAAAGACGUCACACAAGUGUUUUCGAAAUCAAUGGAUGGAGAGAGACAAGUCUGUAAUUCUUAACAUCAGAUGGGUUUGGUGUGGGUUAAUUUUUAUGGAGGGUUCACUCUGCUGUACGAUUUUUCGGAUAACAACCAGUUAUCAAAGAAGUAUUGAUGGGAUGGGUAAAGAACAAAAGGAUGGUAGCCAUACACUGAAGGUAGUUUGUGGAUAGGGUUGAGAUGGCAGUUGGUAUGAGUUGACAACGGGUGGAGCUCAAAGGGAUAAUGCUAGAAAGAAAAAAUUAGUGCUGAAGAGGUGGAGAGGACAGGUGUUGGAUGAAAUUUGUAAUUUUUUCUAGAUGGUGUAACAAAAUUCCUCUGGAGGAGUGAAAUGAGGGAGCGGGUGGAUGAAGGAUGAGAAAUAAGACGGACAUAACGAUUUUGGGGGUUGGAUUAGGUAGUUAGAAUUUGAGAUUGUAAGAAAGAGCUUUUAGCAGCAGAUAAAAUGGUAGAAAAGAGGAGCGAAGAGAAUGAUGAGCAAGAACAUUGUCAGGGGGCUUGGAUUUGCACCUUGUCUCUCAGCCUCGUGUAAUGGCCCCGUCAGCACUCUGCUUGCUUGUGCCUGCCAGUUGGAUUAGAGUAGAGAAGAGAGAAUAAUGUCCAUGGAAGAGAUGCGAAAGGCAUGAGGGAGAAGGAGUAAUUUGAGAGGAGAGCUGAUAGGAUAUAUGAAGCGAGAGAGGGGGGAGAGUUGCUGCGUAUAGUGAAAGAAUGUGUAGAAGCGGGAGGUGGUUCGACAUUUGGAGAGGUGAAAGUUAAAGUGAUAUAAAGAGGCAAUACAGAAAGGUCGGUGGCAGAGCCAUUCCUUGUGGUAGUUUUACCAGCUCUCUGGGUGUGGGGGGGAGGGAUUGAUGGAAGAGAACAACUACUGAGAUGAUAACUUCUGUCUGGAUGUUGAAAUCACCGAGAAGUACCAGCGGGGGGCCCUCUUCGGGGAUGUUCGGUAGGAGGACGUCUAAUUCCCAUGGAGGACCUGGUGCGCGAUAGAGAUCAGCCAUGUAUAAUUUCACCUGGUAAGUUACAGACACGGACGGAAAUUUGAAAGGCGUUGAAGGUGUAAAGAGAAAUCUUUUAUUAGUGGGUUAUUGGAAGAUACCUAAGAAACCAGCCCCAUGGGGAACAGGUUUCUAAAGGGAAUGUAGGCGAUUCAAGAGAAAAUAUAAACCAAUCAGCAUCUGCUUUGCCAAUGGCCGGCCGCAUUCGUUCUGAUGCUGAUUGGCUGCCUUGCUCCAUCGGUGUCCCUGGCCAGCAUGAAACUGGCAGGGCAGGUUUGACAGAACUAAAUCUGCACGUGAAAGUAGUCCUUUGUUUUAGCUUCCCUUGGACGAGUUUCCGCUCAAAGUUAAUCAUGUUCCUUUGAUUGAUUCCAGAGAGGACACUACAGCAGGUUAUACUUUGAGUGAGGAAAGGCAUUUGAUACUUAAAAAUAUACAUAUAAAUACAUUAAUCUUUAAGGGCACACAGAACAAGUUAAUUACAAGAUGGGGGAUGUUUUUUUCUUUUUGUAUUGAUAUAACAUUGCCUAUAUUUAAUGAUGAAAGGCCAGUAAAUCAAUGAAAGGUCAGCUUUAGCAAACAAAAACAUGUCCUGCAUCAAGACAGCAGUGACUCGAUUGGAGAGUAGAUAUUCAUGGCACCACAGAAACCCACAGCAAUAUAUAUCCUAUUCAAGUAGCCCCACGUUCAGCGUGCAGUAUCUGGACAUCUUCAGUCAUCGAUCCAUUAUAUUUAUAGACCUGUCUUUUGUACCCAUAAUCAGCUGUGUUUGUCGUUUGGGUUCUAUGUAACCUCCAUCUCCAAUUCCAGCACUGUUCUCCUGAAUGACCUCCACUUGUCUCUUAUCUUCCAGUUAAAGCCAUCAUCAUGAGACCAAGAACGGUAUUCCUGUAAUCGUAUUUUGAGCGUCUUCUCCCAGGGGGGGAGCCCUCUCCAUUUAGACUGCCCAGAUGUGUCGGCAGCAGUUGGCUGGUGCUUUGUCACUGAGCUACAGGCUACCACUCCAAAAGACCUUCCCACAGGCGGCAAGCAGCAGCGGCAACAAGAACACGCAUCCUGCAGUGCCUCAGAGAGACGGACCUGAUGGUGUCGGAGCAGGCUGGAGCACCAACGUCCAAGAAGCUGAAGAGCAUUGGGAAUCACGACUAGAUCUCCUUCAGAACCUACCAUGGGUUCGUCGACAGCUGCUGUCCACAGGAGAUGGCGGCUGUAAAGGAUUAUUUUGAGAAGCGGUUGCCUUGAAUCUGACCUCAGUACACACCUAUUCUCUCUCUCUCUCUCUCUCUCUCUCUCUCUCUCUCUCUCUCUCUCUCUCUCUCUCUCUCUCUC